rnacentral:rRNA from 1 species
AUUAACGCUAGCGGCAGGCAUAAUACAUGCAAGUUGAACGGCAGCACAGGUAGCAAUACUGGGUGGCGAGUGGCGCACGGGUGCGUAACACGUAUGCAACCUACCCUAUACAGGCGAAUAACCUUUAGAAACGAGGGCUAAUACGCCGUAGUAUUACAGAUGGGCAUCUAUUUGUAAUUAAAGAUUUAUCGGUAUAGGAUGGGCAUGCGUCCCAUUAGUUAGUUGGUAAGGUAACGGCUUACCAAGACGAUGAUGGGUA